GUUUACUGUUGACAAAUAUUGCGAAACAUCUGUGCGGUGGUCUGUGCAAAUCGUGAUUUUCCAAAUUCCGGUAUUCAUUUCGGAUCGAAAAGUAGUGCCGCGACAAAAUAUGACGUCGCUAGUCGGUAGUUUUUCGCGGAGUGUGCUCCGGAAGCCGUUUCUGGUGCCGGUCCAGUGGCGCUGUUUGAGCGCGGUCGCGGCUACGGAAAGUGCCGGUGAAAAUCCGGCGGAACACUUUGAUAUUGUGAUCGCCGGCGGCGGAAUGGUUGGCACGACACUGGCCUGUGCACUUGGCAAAAACCCGCGCCUCUCGGACCGACGAAUCCUGCUGCUGGAGGCCGCCCCGGGUUUUAAGCAGCCCUCGACGGCCACCUACAGCAACCGGGUGUCGGCCAUCAGCAAGGGAACGCACCGGUUGAUGAAGGCGAUCGGUGCGUGGCCCCAGAUUGAGGCGACCCGGGUCAAACCGGUGCUGAAGAUGCAGGUAUGGGACGCGUGUUCCGAUGCGCAGAUCACGUUCAACUACGACGAUCUGGCGGAGAACAUUUCCUGGAUUGUGGAAAACGACGUGCUGCUGGCCAGUGUGUACCGGCAGCUGGAAACGGUCAAGAGCGUGGAGAUUCGGUACGGUGCCAGGAUGGAGUCGUGCAGUUUGAUGCGCGACGGAGCGGACGCUAGCACGGUGCAGCUGAGCAACGGCGGCAGGAUCAAGUGCGAGCUGUUGAUCGGUGCCGACGGGUACAACUCGCUCGUCCGCCGCACGAUGGGCGUGGACAACUUUACGCUCGCGUACGAUCAGAUGGGCGUCGUUGCGACGCUGAAACUUGGCACCGCCGGUGGAAACAACGUUACCGCCUGGCAGCGCUUCCUCCCGACGGGCCCGAUCGCCUUGCUGCCCCUGGCCGAUGACAUGAGCUCGCUCGUAUGGUCCACCACGGUGCCGGAAGCUAAGCGACUGCUUCAGCUGGACGAUGGGGAUUUUGCCGCCGCGGUCAACGAGGCUUUUACCAAACCCUAUCCACGAAACGGCGUGGUUGACGAUGUCAUGAAAAAUGUAAACUCGCUGAUUUCGUCUGCAACCGGACAACGGCUGGAACCGGCUCCGAAAGUUGAGGGAGUCGUGGAAAAGUCCAGAGCUGCGUUCCCGCUAGGGCUAGGUCAUACCAGUACUUAUGUUGGUCAGGGCGUCUGUUUGAUAGGUGACGCCGCCCACCGCGUGCACCCCCUCGCCGGACAGGGCGUCAACCUGGGCUUCGGCGACGUCCAGUGUCUGGCGGACAUCCUAGCGGAAGCCAACUACAGCGGCCUCGGACUCAACAAUCUGUCCCAACUAGUGAAAUACGAGCAGGAACGCCUCAAACACAACGUUCCCGUCCUGCUGACCACGCACGGUCUCCAGCGUCUGUACACGACCGACUUCCCGCCCAUCGUGGGUCUCCGGAGCAUCGGGCUCACCGUCACAAAUGCACUUCCACCGGUGAAGAAAUUUCUGAUGAAUUAUGCCAUGUCUUAAUCCGCGGUGCGACACCCAAACUCAAACCGGGCGACGACGAGGUGGCCCCAGGUAAGUGAGGAACCCGUUAAUUAACAUCGCGUCGGUCGGUCAUUGGUCGAAAAUCAGUUCCGAAGAUGCGGCGAGCGCCAGCUGCUAGUGACCGAAAACGAUAUGUAUUACAUUUAUAAUUUUUGGCGGGAUCUGUUUUGAGCUUCUUUUUUUUUUUUUGGUCUGUUUUCGGGGGGCGAGUGCAGUUGAUUUAAUGUGUCAUUCGCGGUGGAUUUUCGCGUUUUCUUAUUUAGUGUGACAGGCAACGGUCGCAGAAGAUGUUUGUUUGAUAUUAAAUCAAAGCGCGCUGUGUAGAUGAGUUAUGUUUAACAGA